AAAAGCGUGCUCACAAUGGAAAAAACAAAGUAUAAAGCAGAAAAAGAAAAAGAAAACAAUGGUGUAAAAUGGAUGCAUUAUUCUUGUUUUAUCUGCUUGGUUCUCAUUAU
rnacentral:ribozyme from 12 species